AAUAAGCACCCGGGCGUAAGAGAUCCUCUCAAUUUUUGUUGUGCACGCAUCAACAAAUAAGGGAUUUCCUAGCGCGCUACUGAUUCUACUCAGAGCUCCCCUACUACAGCAAUUUAGUGGCAAGUUUGGAAACUUCACCCAGAUUGAAAUAGUAUUUAAGACUUCUGCAGUGAAAUCAAAAUUUGUCGUCCAUGCUUUCACUAUUAUGGGUCGAUUAUUUGGUGUAUGGUGUCCCGAUGCCAACACCACACCCUUAUCCUCCAUGGAUUUAAUAACACCAUGAAGAAACCUUUGUUGUGAUAGUAUAUUUUAGGCUUGGCUGCAAAAUUUCACUAUGAUUCUAUAUAUCUCUCCAGUGCUUCCAUAGUUGGUGAAUCCCCAACUACAUACAGUAUUACAGCCUUUCUCCACUUCUCAGUCUCCUGGUUCGCAUCAUUUGGCUGCAAUUGAACCAUUUUUGCACCAUCCUGUACUAUUCGAGCAAUAUAAUCCAACUCCGUGCCUCUCCCUUCCAUCCUAGCUAGUUCCCGCAAAUAUUGUCCCCCACUAUUUCGAUUCUUGCGACUGUGGCAUAUUUAACUCCCUCUUAGCUUGGACUUCAUCUUUCAUUUGUUGCGAAAUAGGCGUGAUUACUUGACUAUUAGUUGGGAUGGUGAUCUCUGUUGUCCUUACCUGUGUUGACCCAGAAGUCCCCAAAUUCAAUGGGAUAGUGUCCAAACCUAUGCACUGUAUCAUUAUUCGGUCUUACGUGUAGCAUUUUCUAAAGAUAGUAUUAGUUAUAUGGCUAUGUACCGACUUUAAAGGACAUAUGAAAACAAAUUUAAUUCUAAGUAUAAAACUUCUUAU
rnacentral:lncRNA from 1 species